ensembl:lncRNA
UCCAGCAGUACCAACAGUACCAGCAAUACCAUCAGUACCAUCAGUAUCAACAGUACCAGUACUACUAUCCACCACCGCCGCCGCCCCCACCACCCCAGAUGCCCACCAUGCCCAUGCCACCUACAGGGCCGAUGGAUGCCAAUCACUUGGCGGCUCCUGGAACCGGCGCAUCUCCAAGAGCAAUGCACCUCAGACUGUCUUCAGUCUUUCAUUCCAACGCUGAGAGAUGCUAAAAUGGCUCCCGGGCCUCAGGACGCCAAGUUGCACAUGACGGGGGAAGAGAAUUAGAGUCCCACAGUGGCAUGGAUGCACUCCCCAGAAAGGUAAAGCCCUCUGGCCCCAAUCACGCUUGCACCUUGACCAUACACCACUUCCCCUAAAUCAUCUGCUCCAACUCAGCUCAGAUCCAUCUUCUGGCUGAAGAACUGGAACAAAAAAAAUGAUGGGGCUGUAACAGUGCCACAGCUUAGGGUUAAAUAAAAUGGCAGUUUUUUACAAGCAGAGAAACCAAGUCAUUUAGCUCAGGCACACAAAGUACCCCACAUGAUCUUGGUUUGGUUGUCUGCAAAUGUUCCUUUUUUUUAAUUUUUUUUUUUUUUAAAACAUACAAUUUUACAUGGUUAAAGCCCCAGUGGCACAUCCAUUCAGAAGUUAUCAUAACCGUUGUAUUGUUUUUGAGUUCAGAAUUUAUGACCGUGUCUUACAAGACACCUGCUCACAGAAAUCCUUUAUAAAGAACAUGGGAACAUGUGAGAUCAGGGUAAAUUGAAUUGUUGGCUUGUUCUGUGGCAUUUCGUGUUUCUUUUAAGCAUUUUCAGUAAGACGAGACGAGAAGCGUGCACACGCUCACAACUGAGGUUCCUUGGCUGUGCUUUGAACUGUUAAGAAGACAGCACAGCUUUAAGGGGGUGCAGUGCAAUCCAAAAGGAAAGAGGUGGGGCUGUCGCCUGGUAGGUGAGUAACCAGUGCGCCACUGUCCCACUCAAACCUAUCCCUGCCCUCAAACCCAAACACUUCACAUGCCCCAUCACGCCACCCUUUAAAUGUUCUGUACAUCUCCAACUUCAAGCACAUGCCUCAGGGAACGAGUUCACCUACAGAAAGUAGUCAUGACCAGAGUUGCGUGUGAAGACUGAUGCAGAAAUUUAAAUGACUUAAAAAGAUUUGUUUAAAAACCUUUUGAAAAGGAUUCGGUUGGGUACCUGGAGUUCUGACUGGACCAGAGUUUAGACCUUGUAACUCGUCGUUAAAUAGAUCAUGUCCAACCUCUCUUGAUUUUACAGUUUAACAGUACAUGAGUGAAGCUUGAUGUCAGUUUUGAUAGUUAAAAUUUGUGUUUCCUCAUUGUCCAUGAUGUAUUUGCAGCUUCUACUUCGUAUUUCUUUCACUGAUGACGUGUGUGUGUGUGUGUAUAUAUGCUGUGAUUUGAACAACAUGCGCCAUUUUCUGAGUGUGGUUUGCACACGUAAAGCAUUGCUUUUGAUUAAUUUAGGUCACAAAAUAAUUAUUCAGGGAGUAUGCUUUAGUUGAGCUAAAUGCUACCACUUUUACUGAGAUUGGUUUUAUUCUUUUGCUACUGUCCCAGCAAAAAUAAUGUCAAGUCUUUGUAGUCCUUCUCUAAUCUUGUAAAACUAAAUUAAAUGCAUUUAUAAAAACCACAUUGCUGUGUUUUUCAUUUGUAGAGAGGUCAUAAC